rnacentral:rRNA from 1 species
UAACAAGGUUUCCGUAGGUGAACCUGCGGAAGGAUCAUUAUCGAUGAUUAAGAAAGACUGUGGCUGGCAAGGUUCUCCUUGCAUGUGCACGUCUCUCGUAUCUACACACACCUGUGCACCUUUUGUAGAUCCUCUCGAAAGAGUAGCGAUCUAUGUUUUCAUCACAUCACACAUGUCGUAUGGCUAGAAUGAAAUCAUAACAUGAAAUACAACUUUCAGCAACGGAUCUCUUGGCUCUCGCAUCGAUGAAGAACGCAGCGAAUUGCGAUAAGUAAUGUGAAUUGCAGAUUUCCAGUGAAUCAUCGAAUCUUUGAACGCAUCUUGCGCUCCUUGGUAUUCCGAGGAGCAUGCCUGUUUGAGUGUCAUUAAAUUCUCAACCAUCACCAUCUGUGGAUGGGUUGGAGUUGGGAGUUGCUGGCGGGAAACGUCAGCUCUCCUUAAAUGUAUUAGCGAUCGAGUUGGCUGGUCUUUGACGCACACGGCCUUGGACGUGAUAAUGAUCGUCGUGGCUGGAGCGUCUUUUCAUAGACUAUGUACAUGGAUGGCUUCCAAUCUACCGAUCGAGCUCAGCUACUAGUCAGUCUUUGACGAGGCCGACGAACACGAGCGAGAGAGGACUUUGAUCUUGACCUCAAAUCAGGUAGGACUACCCGCUGAACUUAAGCAUAU